rnacentral:rRNA from 1 species
UAGAGUUUGAUCCUGGCUCAGAAUUAACGCUGGCGGCGUGCCUAACACAUGCAAGUCGAACGAGAAAGUGGAGCAAUCCAUGAGUACAGUGGCGCACGGGUGAGUAACACGUGACUAACCUACCCUUGAGUGGGGAAUAACUUCGGGAAACCGAGGCUAAUACCGCAUAAUACCUACGGGUCAAAGGAACAAUUCGCUCGAGGAGGGGGUCGCGGCCGAUUAGUUAGUUGGCGGGGUAAUGGCCCACCAAGACGAUGAUCGGUAUCCGGCCUGAGAGGGCGCACGGACACACUGGAACUGAAACACGGUCCAGACUCCUACGGGAGGCAGCAGUGGGGAAUUUUGCGCAAUGGGGGAAACCCUGACGCAGCAACGCCGCGUGGAGGAUGAAGUCCUUCGGGACGUAAACUCCUUUCGAUCGGGACGAUUAUGACGGUACCGGAAGAAGAAGCCCCGGCUAACUUCGUGCCAGCAGCCGCGGUAAUACGAGGGGGGCGAGCGUUGUUCGGAAUUAUUGGGCGUAAAGGGUGCGUAGGCGGUUUGGUAAGUCUCGUGUGAAAUCUAUGGGCUCAACUCAUAGUCUGCACGAGAAACUGCCGGGCUUGAGUAUGGGAGAGGUGAGUGGAAUUCCUGGUGUAGCGGUGAAAUGCGUAGAUAUCAGGAGGAACACCUGUGGCGAAAGCGGCUCACUGGACCAUAACUGACGCUGAUGCACGAAAGCUAGGGGAGCAAACAGGAUUAGAUACCCUGGUAGUCCUAGCCCUAAACGAUGACUGCUUGGUGUGACGGGUAC